AAAUACGAUAGGAAAUGUCAGUACACAUGGCAAAGGAUUUCUGGUUCUUUACCACAAAGCAAAAUAUUUUUAAAAGUUCAGAAUUUCUAUGUGGUUUAGAGCAUUUUAUUUUUUGCAUUCCAAAUUGGUUAAAAGUUGGUACAGUACAUGAUCUAACUAAAACGGUUUCUCUUUUACUCAAUAAUCAUAAUUAUUGUCAUAAAUUUGGGAAGAAUUCAAGUCAUUUAUUUACUCAAUUAUUCAAUUGGCUUUUUUCCCUUAAUUAUCUUGUCUGGCCAGUGUUGCUAAAGGCACUGUGGAGGAUUUUAUAAAAGGAGAAAAUGUGAUCUUUCCCUCAUCAACUAUAGUGUAAUUGGAGAGAGAAAAAGAACUCUGAAGAACUAAUUGGAUAAUAUAAUAAAAUUACUCUUAGUAAUCAUGCUUCAGUACUGUGAAGGGAGAAGCUAUUUUAUCACAGGUAGAAAACAGUAUUAACAAUCAAAUGUAGCUUUUUGGCUCAGAAUAUUGUUUCAGAUUAUUUGUUGUAAAAACAAUAAUAAGAACAUGUAGAAUAAAGGCCAGUUCUUGAAAACAGAUUUUACAAUGAUCAGUUGAUUUCAUCAGCAAAUUUUUCAUUUCACCAGGACUUAAAAAAAAACAAUGAACUGUGUUGCCUGGUUAGUUGUUAAUUCAACUGUCCAAAACUUAAAAAUGCCUUAACAAUUUAUAAUUAAAUAUGUGGGGGGGGGGUGAAGUUUACCAUUGCCUUAAUUGUACUUCAAGAUACUCUUCAAAAUUUGAAGACAGACAUAAAUUGAAAUAUUUUUAGAAAUACUUUAACUUCCUAGCUAUCUUGAGGAAACAGGCUAACACAUUCUAUGAGGUAGAAAACUUUUCAAAGCUGUCUUUAACAACAUCCCUGUGUGUAUGAAGCCUUGCUUUGCUCUCUGGGAGAAAUAUUACACCAGUCAUUCAAAUAGAUAAAAACAUUAUUCCAAAUAAAACCCAACAUUGAGCAAAGAGCUUUGGGAUUGGCUCAAGUUUUAUUUUCUAUCUCAAAUAUAAAAUUUUAAGUUUUUAAGGAAAAGCAACAACUUUGCCUGUAGAUUAUCAUUUUCCAAAGCCAAAGAUGAGUCAGCCAAAAAAUUUCAAAACUUUAUUUAAUAAACCUUAAAGUGUUUCCCCUUAGUUACAUUGACAACUGUGUUGAAAAGCCCAGUGAUAACUUAAAUAGCCUCUUCUUUCACCUUGAGUGGUUUAUACUUUGUAGACAUAGAGAGAAGAACCUUGACCACUUUUGUUUUCUCUGCUCAGGAAAGGAAAGAAUCAGAUAGAAAAAUGCACACCACAUUCCUGCCAGACCUUGCCUAUGGACAGUGUAUGGCAUCCACUAAGUGAGGAAGACGAAUGUUCGCAUUUUUAGGGGCUGAGGGGAGGGAACAGCAAAGAACUGGUUCUCCUGUGUAUCCUAGCAUGUGAAUGAACUGAUACUAGACAUAUCACAGGGAGAAUCAGACAGAAGGAUACUUAAUGAGAUCCACUCAAAGACCAGCAUCCUCUCUAGAACCCAGCAGUUCUUGAUUCUCAGUGUCUUUGGGAAGCAGGGUUCACCAUCUACCUGUUUAAACAGGUAAUGAGAGCAAAGGCAUGACACACAUCCCUGUGAUUUUUGAAUGUCUUCACUGCCCCCAAAUAAGGAACUCCUCCCACUGCUGUCUGCUCUAAGCUGCAUUUCAUUUUGAUAGCCAUUUGCCGUAGGCACUUUGGAACUCCAUGCAAUGCAAGAGAUAUGGUUGAGAAAUUCUUCAAUGGGAUUUCUCCCUACUCCCCAGUAGGGGAUUCAGAACAUGAUUAGAGACUUUGAGACAUUCUAUUUAGCCUACUUCUAAAACUACACAUUUAGGCUCACACCAUUAGAAGAAAAAUGAAACAAAUCAGAAAAAGAAAAAAAAACUCGAGAAGGACAAAGUAUUCUACAUCAGGGAAUAUGGAAAAUGGUUAAAUUUGUGAAAUCAGAAGAGAUAAAAGAAAAUAUUUGGAAAAAAAAAGAUCAAGUUUCUCUUGAAUUACAGAUUCGUUGAGUCUCAGUUUUACUUUCACUUGCUAAAUCAUGACAUCCACUGUCGUCUUCAAAUUUAAUUUUAGUGUCAUGCCUCUAAAAGUAAAUAUGUUUUAGCAUCAACAUCCUCACCUUGCUUAUUCUUUCUAGGGGACGACACACGUCUUUGGCCCAUCUUUGUCAUGCUCACUUGUAACAAUUUAACUUUAGCAUCAUUUACUCAUUGUCAUACAGUUCUUUCUCCCAAUAAAGUAGCCGCAGUGUUUUGGUUAAUGGUGCUUCUAAUGGCAAAUACAACUUUUUGUGCUUCAUCUUGAAAUAUUUAAAUGCAAAAUCGAAAUUAGAGUGCUAUAUCAAAUGUCUAAGAGCACAGAGCCUUUUUCUUGCACCUUUGGUGAAUCCACAUCUCAUCAGUAAUCAGUGUCAUUUUCAGGUUCAUGCUCAUUUUUAACGCUAUACCGACUGGCCAUGGUUUUAGUCAUUUUUUCCUUUUGAGUUUAGUGCUCUGUGAUUAGAGCACCUUGAAUGUUUUUUGAAAACCUAAUAGUCUAACAUUUGAAUACACACUUUGGAAGAAAGGAUUAUUAAAACGCAGACAUCCUUCAGUGUUCACCAAGAUGGUCUUCGGAGAAUCUUCUCAGCUGACAUAUUUUCUUGUUCACUUUGGGGCUCUAAGUUAAGCAGCAGCCUUUGAGGUAGGAAAGUUUUAGUCUUUGGAUUCAAACCAAAUUGUUUUCAAAUCCCACACCUACCGUUACCUUGGACCAAUUGUUUAGCAUCAUUGAAACACAGUUUCUUCCUCUGCAAAAUAAGGAUUAUAGCACUCACCUUACUAACAUUCCUUGGCCAUUUCCCACAUCCCAGACACCAUACUCACACGGCUAUAUACUGUCAUUAUCCACAGUUUACAAAUUACCACAUUGAGGCUUGGAGAGGUAAAGAAAACCCACUUAGGCAUACGUAAUUGUUAAGUGGUGGGGCCUCUUGUUGGUUCUUUUAUUUCUGUAGAAUUUGUUUUUUAGGAAAGGACUUGCAGGGUCAAAAGGUAGGUACAAAAUAAAUUUUUGUAACGUCAUUUAGUUUCAGGCACUUGACUAUGAGAUGCAGUACUGAAGCUGUAAUUUGUAUUUCUCCAUGUUGCUGCAUUAGGGACUGAUGCUAUUUGAGAGUGUGCUUUGUAAGUGGCCAUGGAGAGCUAUAUACUACGAGAGCCGCUUUAUGCUUUUCUUCUUGAAGAUGGUGAUGGUGCUCUCAUCUUGAUGAGCACAACUCAUUUUCAGUAAAGAUUCUGGAUAAAGGGCUGUUGCAUGGAAUUGAAUGCUAGUCUACAAGGCAAUUGUUCUGCCUUCGAUGAAGAGUGGAUGCCAUUUCCAGAAGAGCUUGACAUUCUCAGGGAAGAGUUUUACAGCCUUGAAGAAUAUGUGUGAUUUGUAUGAUUCUUGAUAAAGAAAAAAAAAACCGAGAGUUAUAUACUAGAAAUUUAAAACUUCCAUUCUGUUGUGGCUUCAUCUGCGGCCCGUUCCCUACUCGCAAGACACUACUAACUUCAGCGUCUUCUCCUACUUCACCUUCAGGCUCUUGAAGUCUGUGCGAUGCCCAAGUGUGUAUAGAAACACAGAAAUAGCACAGUCCCUUUUGUUAAGAAUAACACAUCAGUUUUCUUUCCUUGCUUUUGUGUGCUCUCUGGAGUUCACCCAUGCAUGAUGUUCCAGUUGACUUCAAAGACAAGUCUGUGGUUGGAUUAGCUCCACAGGACAGGCAGCAAGGUAAGAAACAGGCUUAGUGCUUUCAAAGCCUACUGGGGAACUGAUAGAGCCAAGCUGUGUGGUUACCAAGACAGCUUAUUCAUUAUGUCCUCCCAGAAGAACAGGUAAAUUUGCAUAAUACUUUCUAUUUUGUCACUACUAAAAUUAUUUUUUAAAUGAUGACUGGUCAGUACCCAAAAAGGUUGACUUAUAGCUAUAUAAUUCCUGCACUUGGGGAGUUUAGUGUCUAAUAAAGGAGACACAGAUAUAAUAAAUUUGGAGUGAGAAAAUGCCGCUAAAGUCAUGAAGGUAGAAAACAUGCAAAUCAUAGGGUAAUUUUAGGUAUUAAAAAAAGGGAUGACUUAGCGAGUGGUAUGUGCUUAAGAAAUUGCAACUAAGGUACGUUUGCUUUCCAGACAUUGCCAGCAAAGGUAGACUUAUUACAGAACCCUAGAGCCAGGCAUUGCAUCACAAACUUAGGUCACACUUUGGGAGAUGGCUUAGUAAUGAGAGAGGCAUGGUUGAAUGAUGUGGGCAGUGAGAUGAUUUCCCAAAGAAGAAUAUGGCAGACUGGAGAGGGUAAAGAUACAGAGCAGACAGGGAAGUGUGAAGUGCCCCAUGACCUGUGAAGCUGGGAGAGUCUGCAAAAUAAAAUGGAACUGCCUUUGAUUCGGUCCCUGGAAAAUAGGGAAGCAACCCUAGCAGUUCUGCUGAGUGUUGACCAUAGCCUUAUUCUUCAAGUUUGAAAGCCACGUAAAGGCAGAUGAAGAGUCUUAAUUUUCAGAAAUCAGAGGACCAGAUAAAACAGGCCACAAUAAUUCAGGAGAGCCACUGCCAGGUCUUGGACUGAGAUUGUAGACGUGACGUUUAAAAAAAAAAAAAAAGGCUGUAAAUUUAAUAGAUAUGAAGGAAAUAAUCAUACAAAAUAACAACAUUGACAAAACCCAACACCAUGGAAGGAGGACUGAGAAACAGUAAAGGAUAGAAUUAAAAAUUGCCUGAAGGAGGAAUUACAGGUAGAGCAAGAAUGAGUGAAGGUAUCCAGCAAGUUCUCGAAAGAGGACCAAACAUACUUGUUGCAUAUUUUUAUUUCUGUCUCGGAAUGAAGAAGAAAGAGAAUACAGCUAUGUCUUUGCACUUUGAUUUAUUCCAUUUCAAAUCCAGGAUCACAGAGAAUUACCAUAUACUAACAUAUUGAAGUUAUGUAGGGCUAAAAGUACUUUUUAAUUACGCGGCUCGUACACACGAGUGCUUUGUGGUCAUUUUAUUUGGCAUUGUAUAGGGAAACACUACAAAGAGAAACUGCUGUCUGUGUGGUACCCAAAGGCAUAGACUUUGUAUUACUGAACCUCAGACUGAAUCUCGACUGUGGUUAUGUUCUAGUGAAUAGAGCAGAAACAGAAAUGAAUCAUUUGUCUCCAGAAAUUGUCACUCUGACUUUGCUUUUGAAAACACUGGCAUGUGUACUGUGGCUGGAACAAUCCUGCUUUGGUUUGUCAUCAAACACUUCAUAUUGGACUUUGAAAGGGAAGAAAAAUAUUGUGUGAUUCAAAUGAGCUCUUCAUUUGAAAAAAGAAAAAUGUAUGUGUGCUCUCAUCCACUGAUUUUACAAUUACUUAUAAAUUUUAAAUGUAGUUCAGAUCUCCUUCCUGAGUUUAGGCUCAAUAUUCAACUGCCUGCACUGUCCAUCGGGUACCCUCCAACCCAACAUAUGUACACUGACCCUCUCGUUCUUCUGAAACCUGCUCUCCGUAGUGUUCUGUGGGGCUGCUAAACUACAAACCCGGGGGGCAUUUUUGGCUUCUCAUUUCCCACUUCUGUUCUUUUCCCACCUCAAACCCAUUACCAGGACCUGCUAAUCUUCCAUCUUAAAUACUUCUUGAAUCCGACUGUCCUGCCCAUUGUCACCACCACUGCUACAGUUCAGACCUGCUGCCAUUUGCUGUGGUUUAUCUCUUGCCUGGCCAUCUGCACCAUUUGAAUAGGCUUUCUUCCCCCAGCUUUGUCACCAUCAAAUCCAUCAUACGUACAACUAUUUUAAAGCUUGAUUUAUCCACAUUUCAGAGAUAUUAUUUUUCAUACCAAGAAGUAGCACACUGAGCUUUGCUGUCCCCCAAAAUAUGACAAAUGCUAUUUUCUCAGGCAAAAGGGUGAGGUUUAUUUUUUGUUAAUGAAAUGCCAGACAAGCCCAGCCAACUUGCCAGGCAUAAUUAAAUUGGAGCCUCUUUGGCAGUUAACUCCAUCCAUGCAAAUGUUUUGCAAAAAUUCAUUUUAAACGAUUUUUUUUUUGCCAGAUUUUUUUCAGGAUAACGUUGGGAUAUUCAGGAAUCGGGGCAUUCUCACAACAUUAUAAACAUUUCUAAAGGCUGGUUAAAUAAGCUCCAUUAUUAUCCAAAUCAUUCAAAUCCAGCCUUUCUUUCUACCCCUACCACAGGCACCAAAACUUCAGCACUUGGCCCAUGUGGGUGUGAAUGAAGUGGCAAAGUUCAGAUUUAAAAACAUUGCUUGAAAGUCAUUUCAUUUCUAUUUCCUCUAUGUUUUACAAUACUACUUAUCCACGAUCUCUUUUUCUUCUUCCUAGUAUCAGAGAGGGAACAAACACAUUCCUUAAGAACUCUGUAGAAUAUCCUACAGAAGUAGAUCCCCCAAAAGAACACACCAAAAUGGAAAAUAGACAAAUAUGUACAUCCUGUUUUUCAAGCAUACCAUCCAAUUUUAAUUAAUACAAUCUCCAUUGUGUCUUACCUCUUCUGUUGUAACUCAAAACUAGCCAUAGAUAAUGUAUAAACAGAUGAGUGUGACUGUGUUCCAGGGAAGCUUUAUUUGUACAAACAGGUGGCAGACUGGAUUCGGCCCACUAAUCAGAGUUUGCCAAGUCCUCAUUAACUCAUUACUUCUGUUAGUAACUCUUCUAUUUUGAUUUUUAAAGUUGUGGACCUAAAGAUGAAUGCUUACUUCUAUAAUGAAUAAAAUUUUAGGUUAUAUCAAAGACAAACGCAUGAAUUCUUUGAUGGUUAGAAAAGAUUAAUUUUUAAGAACUUUUCUGUAUUUGAAGUUACGGCUUACGCAAUUGUGUGAAUAGAUGAUAAUUCAUCUCCUGCUCUCACCAUGACCAAAGUGCCUGGUUUGUGGUAGAGGCAUAGUUUUGAACAAAUAAACGGUUAGAGCCAACCCAUAAGUCAAGUUGAUCAUAUUGUAGACAAAAUAUCAGAUCCAAGUUUUAAGACUCUCAGAUCUUCGUGUUCUGUUACUUCAAAUGAUCCCGGCUUAGCUGCACUGAUGUGGGAUAAAGAAGGCUGCCCCUGGCGGUGGAAGCAGCACAUGUUUCCCCCUGCAUGUGUGCUCAGAAGCUGGUGGGGAUUGUCCAGGGAAAGCCUGUGUGGAUAGGUUGAGAAUGAGUAGGGUAUGGUUUUUUCUCUAGACCCAUUACAAACAAGAAGGAAAACCCUUUUAGCUGUGAAUGUGGGCUGACAAACAUGAUGGAUUUACUAGUCUUUUGACUCCUUAGAUCUGAGGUCAUUGUGGGCGCAAUGUCCUCAAUGAGGCUUUGAAAGUACUUGUGACUGGUAAACGACCAGAUGCCGGAAAAAAAGGUGCUAUUUACAGCAAUUAAAAUAUCUAUUCUACAGAACUCUGUGACCACCAUAGAUAGUAGUAGGCUUGAUUACAAAAUACUGGUAGUGUAUAUAUUAAUAUCAUUCCACGUUAACUGGUGUAAAUCUCCCUCAUUCUGUUUGUAAAAGCACUGCCCAUUGUAAAAUCACGUUAUACGUUUCUCCCCUCUCCACCAUAAACGCUGUGCUGUUCUGAUAGCAGUAUUCCAAAGUUGCUGUGUUAAUGAAUGAAGGAGAUGAAAACAGUCCUUCCCAUGUUGGGGAAAUGAACAUCUAUGUUUAUUAAUCUAGUUUUACUUUUAAUUGGUUCACGGUUGAUUGUUGAUAGCCUUGUGGAGUUUUACAACACUCUGCCAAAUGUGUCCUUGGUUCUUCCUUUGGCAUAUUUUUGUGUAAAUGUGUGCGUUUAUAAUUAUACAGCUAUAAGGGCCCCUGCUUGCAUACGCACACACAUGCACAUAUGCAGAUUUAUUAAUUUCAAGGAGAUCAUUCAGAUGGCCAGGCUCAGAGUAGAGGUCAUUAUGACAUGCAUCUGCCUUUUGUGCCAAUGACAUCCUGGCAGAUACAGCGUGCAAGUGUUAAGCCUGAGAAUACCCUACCAUUCUACAAUAAUUGCUACGUGUGUUUAGCCAUAUUAACAAAGAGUGUGUUUAACCUUCUACAGAAGAAACCUUUAUACCUUACUAUUCAGAGACAGCUAUUUUUAAAAUUUCCAAACUCACUUGCAGCUCUGUCCUCUGCAAGAUCUUCCUAUCUAUUCCAGCCAUAUCAAACUAUGCCAAAAACAGAAGAAAACAAGAAGAGACUGUAUAUGUCACUCAUGUUGGCUGAGAGAUAAGCUGAGAAAGCAAGAAUUGGAUGAUGGAGGAAUAAAUGUACCAUUGCCAGAAAAAGAACUCUUCUCUUUCAAGCCAUAUGUAACUUAUCCAUUGUAAACUGAGGAAGACUAUUAAUCGUAAUCACUAUAAUUACUUACCUUACAUUUGUCUAUGCCAAUAACUUACAAAAAGCCUUCCUCAAAUUUGAAUUCACUUCCUCUUUUUUGACAGUCCCAUCAAUUAGUCAGGCUAGAGUUUAAUAUUUCUUCCCUGUUUCCCACCUCUGCAAGUUACUUCCUGCUGUUCUUUCCAAAGCUGGUGUGCCAGAUGUGGAGAAACAGAGCUCCUGCCUCGGACACCACCCAGAGGUUGCUAUGUUUGGGCAACAUGCUUGCUGAUGUGUUAGAAUGUGAAAAUUUCUGCUGUGGUUAACAUCCCCUUUGAGAGAAUACAAAUCACUUAAAAGCUCAGGGCAGAUAACUUAGAAUUAUCAAGGCGAUGCUACUUUUUUGAAAUAGAGACAUGUGACAGUAUUAAAAAUGGAUAGUAUGGAUUAAUUCCUAAAAUUUAUUCUCAGUUAUAUCAUAGAGUCAUUUCAAUUCCCUUCAUUUCUCUAGUAAAUUAGCCACUGAUAAUCAUAAUUAUGACACUUAGGUACAGUAAGACAAUGAAAUGCCUCCUGAAUUAUUAAGAAGUGUUAAUUUAUGUCUACCCUGUUAUGUCGUUUCGAGUAUUCUACUACAUUAUCAUUUCUUGAAAAUUGGUCACCUGUACAUAUGAUAUAUACGUAAGAUUAAAUUUUAGUAAUGGUAAUUUUUUUUUUAGAAGAAAGCCUUAUUCCUAGUGUUGAAUAAACAUGAUUAUGUUUUAUAUGGUUAUUUCACCUAGAUUUCUGUUUAGUGUCCAUGACUUAGUUGCUCAUUAGGCACAGGUUGUUAUCUGGGAAAAAUAAUGCCGAGCAUUUGUAUGAUGCUUUAUUACAAACUAAUGCUUUCAUUGUCACAUACACUGUCCAAUUUAUUAUAUAAACUUCAAAAGGUAUUAUUACCAACAUUUUAUAAAGUAAGCCUCAGGGAGCGUAAGUGGUUUGCUCAAAGCCACAUGGCUAACGAGUCGUAGCGAAGAAACCCAAUCCCAUCUAUCCGAGUCAAGAAUGUUUUCCAUCAGCCACAGCCAUCUCAGAAACCCGUCUCCCAGAAUUUGUUGGGCGGCUUCAGCCUGCAUGGGCCUCUCUACUUGUGAACCCACCUGGCAGAGUUUUUUUCUAGAGCUUGUCAGAGGAGCUGUUACCAACCAACAAAUCUGAGAUUCAGAAAAUGUGCUGUAAUCCCCAUUAUCAGUGAAAAGGGCUAAUGUCUCCAAUAUUAGAUUGCAUUCCAUCCACCUGGGGAGGUGCAUAGAAUGCAUCAUUCUGCAGAGGGAUGACUUCAUUUAUCCAACAAUACAACCAAAGACUGUGCUAAAGCAGGACCCUUUGUCAUAGCUUUUUACCGUAUAUGACGAUAGUAAGCUUUGAAAGGAACUAUAGCUGUGGGCAUUCUCCAUUUACCUUGGAUACAAAACAGAUUUUCUGCUUUUAAUGAAAAGAACAGGCAGUGCCCAUUCUAAGGAGAGAGUGUGAAAUAAGAGAGAGCUCAGAACGCAAGGUUUUAUCAUCACCUCCUGGUUUUAUUUUUUCCAUUCUAAUCAGAAACCUGCUUUGAAACAAGCUGUCCUGAUAUUAAUAAGUGAUAUAGAAAAGUCACUGCCUUGAACAUGCUUGUAUGAAAAGUGGCACGAGAAGAUGAGGGACACCUCAGAUUAAGAAGUGCCUUCGCCUUUAAUAAUUAAUUAGAAGGAACAAACAGUGCCUGGGAGGCAGGGCUGGAUUCAGAGAAAUAGAAAUCUGAAACAUUAGGACAGACUGCUGUUUUUCCUGAGAUACAGCUGAUGCUGAAUGCACAUUUCCAACUGGAAUAAAGCUGGUAACAAAGUCUUCCUACACUCAUCCAGUCUGGAAUAAUAAGGAGAAAUGUCUCUUGAAUUUAUUAAGCCACUUCUAAUUAUUUCUGACAUGUCAAACAUACUGGGGAUAGAGAGAAGAGAAGAAGAUUGGGGGGAAACUUUUUUUAAUGUGAUGUGAGUCUCCAAAGAAUUGAACAACUGGCCCCAGAAAUCAUCAUUUUUGUGAGUAUGACACUGCCGCUUAAUAAACCAACAGGAAAUAUUGAAAGGAAUUCUGUCCACAUUCUAGAACUAGUGUAAUUUCCAACAAUGCAGUGUAAUGGCAAGAUCAAGUGUGAUGUCAUGCUGUACAACAUCUAAUUCUGUGAAAUUAGAAAACUUGAGAAGGAAAGGGAAGGAGAAAUAUGUCAGGGUGGAAUGGAGGGAAGGGUGUAGGAAGCCUGAGGUUCCAGUUCUGUCUCAUCUGACCUUACUGAUAUGCAAAUUAUUCCACUGAGUCAAAGUAGCAGAGGUGAAACAAUCAAGGUUUCCGAGGAAAAGAAUUUCCAGCUUCACCACAGAAAAUGGCAAGUUUUGCAUUGGAAACGUCUGAGAGAGCAUCUGAAGUGUUGCCUCAUUAAAAUUUAUGAUUAGAAUUAAUUCACAUUCAUUUUGCUAAGAACCAAAUCCCCUGGGUGGAAUCUGUGUGGGGGAUCAUAAAAAAGGAUGAUGAGAAGUGACAGCAGGUCUGCGGAGUGGUCAGCGAGGAGCACUCGGCCGAGCUCAUCUUCCUCUUUCCCUUUUUUUCAACUUCCCAUUUGGUGUUUGGAGAUGAUUUGGUGUUUGGAGAUGAUUUGGUGUUGGGGAAUCAAUGUCAUUGGUUGGCAUUUGUGUAUGAUAUGAAAUAAGUAGGAUCCUUUUAAAAAUCACUCGGGUUAAAGUGUGGAUUUAAAUGGCUUUAAAUGAGACCCAAAUAUGUGGCAGUCAGAAUACUGCUGCAAGGAAAUGAGAAUUUCAUUUGUUAAAGAGAAUUUUGUGCCUGGCCCUGUGCUCCGCUGACCUCAUGGUGCUCGCAGAGCAUGGGAUACCUCUUGCACCGAGUUGCUGAAACCGUCCAUUUCCUUUGCUCCAGAUGUAUGAUCUCCAGUGAGAAACCAGACUGUGCUGUUCGGCUCCUCGUUGCCCCUCUUCUCCACAUCCUCUUGGUUGCAAAAUGCCGAGCCCAGCAUCUCCUCUACAUGCCUCUGUCGUCUGUGUAGAUAAUUCCCAGCUGAGGAUGCUGACAUCUCUUGCUAGGAGAAGUCAUUUGUUUCCCGGUCUCUCCAUUUUCCUUCAAAUAAUUCAAUUGCUAUCAGGAAAUUUAUUUCUUCUCUGACACUUUAGCCACCUUUUUAUACCUCCAUAACUUCUAAUCCUAGAAUUGCCCCUCACUCAAUGAUACUUAAGGCUGAUGACUAUUUCUGGGACACACCAUCCUUACCUAGAGAACUGUAGGCUGAUUAUUGCUAAAAUCUUAUAUCAGAAUGAAGGUCUGCUGGUCUGCGUAUUUAUAAGCCUCUGCCUUCUGAAGGUUGAUAGUGGUGAGCUUUUCCAGGUGCAGAUGUGGGAUUAAAAUUGAGACCUUGUGUUUCUGUCUCACCAUUGCUUUUUCUGUCUACUCUCUUAAUACCAGACGCGGCUACUCACUGACCCCUUUCUUUAAAAUUUUAAUUCUUGACUAAGGUGCUACUUUAUACAUCAAUACUUUCUUCCCCUCAGGAUUGCCAAAGAAUAUCCCAAGUCUGAGGCACUGAGAAAUGAGGCAAAUGUUCCCCUCCUCACUGCCAGCCCCUUGGGGACCCGCAUGUGGUUCCCAAGUCCCAUGGCGCCUGGACCACAAAAAAGCAAUUCAGUGCAUCCUGGGAAUAUCCAAGUGAAAGUGUGAGGUUUACCUAGAAUGGCUUCUACGUGGCUCUCCUGCAGGGCCGCAGGGCUCCUUGCUCUCUCGCUAGUGACCGUGUCCAUUUUAGAACUGACAGGAAAAAAGGUUUCAAUCUGUUCCUUUUCCGUUGUAUAACACUUACUGAAGCACUUGGUGCAUUCGGCAAGUCAUCUUCUUCCAGUACUCACAUUACCCUCUCUUUGCGAUGGAAAUUUCUAUUUCAGGUUCCUAAGCAGCCAUUUCUAAGUCUCUCAUGUGGGACUUGAACUUAAGCUUUUAAACUGUAGAGAAAGGAAGGGAGCAAAGAAAGAAAAGACAAGCUGGAUGUGUGGGCAGUUUUACUGCUGCUGAAUUGCACAGUUGUUAAAAAUUGCAUCUCUGCUGUCCAGGUCAAUUUCUCUUCAGUGACUCUGUGCAGAAACCUGGAUUAUAAUAUAAAAAACAAACAAGUAAGACAUCCUUUUAUGUUACUUAAAACCUAACUAUGUAGAAAAAUCUACUUCUGGAUCUUGGGGUAAGUGUAUGAUAACACUGUAAGCUCUGAUGCUUUACUGUGAUAUCCUGUAAUGUGCCUGUGCUCUCACCUAAUCGAGGGGAGUGAAGUUAUUUGUGGAGCUAUGUCACAGUGAAUUUUUAAGCCAGACUGUCCCUCAGCUGAAAGAAUUUCCUGUGAUCAUAACUGAUUUUCCUAAAAUCUGUAUUAAUGCUUUUACACUGCAGUGUAAAUGAUAAAAUCUUGAGUCUAGUUUAUACAAACCACAUGUAAUAAUAACAAUAGUGCGUAUUAAUUGAGUGCUUACUACAUGCCAUGCCCUAAGUUAAGCAUUUUAGGCACUAGUUUAUUUAAUCCUCACAACCCUAAGUGGUAAUACCGUUUUUAUUCCCAUUUUAUAGAUUAGGAAAUUAAGUCAGAGAGAGAUAAAUAACCUGUCACAUUUGCAAAAGGUAGUGUCAGGAUUUGACCUCAGGUGGCUCAACUCCAUUAGUCUGCUCCACUCAGAGGCUCUGUUUAAUCAUUGGUAUUCUUGCAGUUCCUUCCUGAUUUGGUGUUUUACACAUUCAGUGAGCAUCCUCCAGAAUCAAAAUUUUAAAGGAGUAAAUGGUUUCCCGAAGUGAUGAUCAGUGAGAAUCAGUUUUGCUUCUGAGUGCAUCAAACUUACUCUUUUUUUUAAAAUAUAUUUUUACUGAAGUACAAUCAGUUUACAGUGUUGUGUCAAUUUCUGGUGUACAGCACAAUACUUCACUCACAUAGGAACUUAUUCUAAAAGAAGGAGAUGCUGGUUCGCUGUAGAAGAAAAGACCUGAGAAAGAAGUAGGUAAAUGAGCCUCAGGCCCCAAACAGCUCAGAGAGUAAAGCUUUCAGGCAUAUUAUUUCUACUCGUGUAGGAAAGAAAGAGCCAAUGUAAACAAUUCACUUUUUGAUAUAAAUCUCUAUCCAUCAUGACACUGGUUUGGUGGCCGGGCUCGGAGAAGAGAAGCAAUGUCAAAGGACUCCGGAGCCAGACUGCCUGGAUUCAAAUCCUAGCUCUACCGCUUCCUGACCAUGUGAUCCAGGGCAGGUUUCUUGUUGCCUCUGUGACUCUGUUUCCUUGUCUGUGAAAAAGAGAUAAUAGUACCUACUUUAGAGAGUCGUCAUGGGGAUUAAAUGAGUGCAUUGUAUAUAGAGCAUUUAGAGCAAGCAUUUAGAAUAGUGCCUGGCACAUAGUAAGUACCAUAAGGGUGUUUGCUAUAUCACCAUCAUCGUCACCACCACCACCAUCAUCAUUACCAGGUGCUCAAACAUGGUGUGGCAAAUAUAUCAACAGUGGUCUUAUAUGUAGACAUUCUUAGGGCUUUCAUGUAGAAAUGGAAGAUACUAGAUUCGAUUUCUAUUAGACUUUGCUGUAUAAAAUGAUUCUUAGAUCACCUAGGUUUAUUUCUAUUUUAGAAUUUGAGUGGUAAUUUAUAAGUUAACCAACAGACGUGCUGCUAGCAUUCUAAAUCAAAUGAUAAACAGAAACAGAGAGACUAACCCCUAUCUUAAAAAAUCUGAAGAUGGGAGUAGCAAAAAAUAGGAGAUAAUCCUACUUCCAUUAGGGAAACUUGGGUUUGGAGUUUAUAGCAUAAAAAUAGCUAAUUUAUUUGGGGGUAAUAUCGGUAGAGGUAAACUAAGGCUCAUAGAGCACAGUUCUGAUAGAUUCCCACAGACUUAAAUGUUCAUUCCUGCUUUCUUCAAAGAGUUGGAAUGGAUGCUCUCUGAUCCCCUUGAGGGCAUCUCACCUCCACAGGGGUGAGAGAGGCUUUAUGCCUUUAAGGCAACUUGGUUCAACUCUGCCUGCUUACUGAUGGGGGAGCCCUGGCAAAACUCCAGAUGUGAUUAGUGUUGUAUCUGUUAUUUCACAGGGUGGGGUGUGUUUGUGUGGAUGGAGGGGGAAGCCUAUAAUUUCAUAGCUGUUAGAAGAGCAUUUCUACUAAACCUCUUUUUAUUCUAAAAAUUGAUGAAAAGAUCUCAAUGUUCAAGAUGAUUUGAGGACAUUCUACUGUCCCCAGAAUAGAUUUAGUUACGGUUGUUAUUUACUCUUGAUGGCGCAAGUUGGAGGAGUGUAAAUAUUUCCUCCAAAAUAUCCAUUACUAUUUUGACCUUUUUUUUUUUUUUUUUGGUGAGAUCAAAACCAUCUUUUUAAUUAUUUGAACUCUGGAGAUUGUUUCCCAUAAAUAUAAAAAUCAGAGCUAUAAGCUUAGCCUAGACCAGUUAAGAAAUACUGCAUUUUAAAAUCAUAACACCAUUGUCUUGUUGAGGAAGAGUAUGACUUAGGUUAAACUGAACAUUGACUUAUAAACUAUUUCAAUUACUCAUAUUCAUUGCUGCCUUGUGAAGUAUAAGCAUUCUUAUUUUUCUAUAGAUUCUUUGAAUUACGUCCUAAAUGACUACCAUGUAAAUAAAUGAGAACAACAGUCACACCAUGCUUUUUGUCAUUUUCAUCAAAUGCUUAGUGAUCUCAUUGCACUUGUGGAAUUAAGUGAAGAAGCUCCACCCCGGCAUCCAUGGGUCAGCUAUGUGGACUCUAGCUGCCAAAGGCGCUUAUCCUUCUGAACAGAGCGCUUUGCUCAGCCAGUGUAGACAUGGCCUGAUAAACAAUGGAACUUCUCCCUUGAGAACUGGAGUUUGGAUUGAUCUAAUUCUUUAACUCAAAAAUGUGCACAGGUUUGAUGAGCGGUUAAAAUGCCUGCGUUUUAGUAAAACAGGAGCUUAAAUUGACAGUAAUGUGAAGAAUAGCAUAAUUUAUAAUGAACUUGAAAGGCAGUAGCACUCACUGUUGUGCAAGCUAAUCAAGGGACUAUCACAUCAAAGUUUGAACGUGAGCUUAAAUAUCUGUGGCAGGGAGGUUGUUCUUGCCGGUUUACAUCUGUCAGGUCUUAACACUGAACCUGUCAGAGUGCAACACGGCCAUGUCACUUUUAACAAAGAUGUCACAUGUCAUAGAUAUUGUGGGAAACAACCUGCUUUGUGUUUCCUUCUCUAGGAUUUUACAAGGAAAAGCAGAUGUAAAAGGAAUUUCUUUAACACUGCAUUUUUAUUUUGCAGAUUCUCAGACUGAUGGAGUGAGUGACGGAGUGGGUUGCCAACUGUAGUUGAUCCACUCAGCACAGAAUGGCUGCGGGGAAUAUAUUCAGACAUGCCCAGAGAAGUCUGCCCAGGGUGAAACAAAUACCUUUGAGGUUUAAAUCAGAAACGACACGAUUUUUGUUGCUAUAUUUUGUUAGAAAGGAAGGAGAGGCUGUUUCUACAGGUGUCAUAGGAAAAUCGAUACUGAGCCACGGAUUGUUGGAUCCCAUAGAACCAUGGAGACUUGGCAGUGAAAUUCUUCCAAAGGCAGACGGUGUUCCUAGGUUUGGGAGUAUAAAUCCCAGGGGAAGUGAGCUGAAGAACAUUUUAUGCAUCACUCAUCCUAUUAUGAGCCCUGUGCUGCUCCAUCUCUCUACAAGAUUGGCUGAAACAACCACCACAACAAAAAUUGUUCAUAAUUUGUGUUCUGACGUUGGAUCAUCUAGUUAAUACCCUGACUCUGAUUACCCGAAAGACAAUGCUCUAUAAGAAAGACUGUCCAUUAGAAGGUUGCUACUGCAUUAUUAGUAAAAUAACAGGGAAAAUGCAACAUUCUGCAUGUCCCAUCUGAUGAGUUGGCAGUUAAAGAACAGAAACAGAGAAAUAAGACUGCAUGGCUACAUUUUCCCAGUGCCACCAACUGGGAGUUAAGCUGACUAACAUUUUGAAAGCCCAGCCCAUUUCGUUCACAGCAGGCAUGGCAGCGGUUGACUGAUUGUACCUGCCAGCUGGUUAAUAUCAUAAUUAACAAAGUUACUACUAUGUCUGCAAAGUUUAAUCGAAAAAUUUGCCAGGGAUAUGAUGGCAUUGUCACAAAGAUCACAAGGGACUCGGAGUCGAUUUUUGCUCAAGGUGGAACGGCAAAGCUGUGUAGGCAAAAUGAGAAAUCUCGAACUUGUUCAGCCAAAGGUUAUGCUUCAUAUCACCCACCAGGGAGGAUCAUCUCUCAUGAAAACUUUCAAAUUUGAUUUUGAAAAUUAUUCAGAAAAAUUUAAGCCCUGCUAUCUCCCAGUGUAGGAAAGAAUAUGCUCUGGAGAGCCCUGUAAUUCAAAGAAAAUGGACUCAAAUGGAUAACACUUGAGUUCUCAUGCUACCAAACUCCUCUUGAGAAGAACAGCCAGGAGGCUAAUUACGGAGGGGCCAGAGAAGAGGCCGGUGCUACAGGGUUAUCUCGCAGCCUCAGAUGCUGGAUAAGUUGGGAGAGACAGAAUCGCUUUUGGGUGACAUUCAGAACAGCUGGAGUGAUUAUUUGGAAGAGAAAAGCCUACCUAUUCUUUUCCAAGGUGCGUGACUAUUCCCCCAGCCCGCCCAUCCCCUGAUGAAUUCUUAGCAGCCUGCCCGAGACAAAGGAUGCGCUCAGAGCCCCACCACACCUGGAGCCACGCUUUGAAGGAUCUGCCAAGCUCACUUUUAAUCGGGAGAACGAAAUUACCCACAUGGAGUCAGCAGAAAAUGAGAAAGUAGAGCUCGUGCUGCGAAUCAUUCCAGCAAGUGCCAAGGGGCUAGUUGAGGAAUGGCUUCAUGAGGAGGCAGUGAAGUUCCAAGAUCAUACUAUGGGUGGCAAGCAAGUCUGGAAGUGAGAGCUCUCAAAUCAGCACCUGAAGAUAUGUGAAAACCGUGAGUCAGCUCACAGGAGUCAGAGCACACUGUGCUAACUCUGAACUAUCAGUGUCCACCUGUUCCUCAUUAAUGUCAAAAUGUCCACUAGAGUCUCUCUUGAUGUUUAGAUUAGAUACAUUUAUGGGGAGUAGGAUGUAACUUUUGACUUGAACUUCCUGUUCCACUUGCUGUGUUAACUUGUUCUGGAAGCCUCUGUUUCUCUCAGUCUCUCUUGCACAAUCUGGCCCCUUCACAUUUACCUUCCUUCUGAAUUUCAAAAAAUUACAAGACAACUGAGAAACUGGUAGCAUUUGUUGCAUUUCUUUGAAUAUAAGCAAAACCAUUAGAGAACUGGUCUUUUUACCAAAGAAGAAGAUUUUGUGCUUUUCUGGAGCUAAUACAAAAUUGUCACUUGGACACUGUGGGAAUGACUAUUCAAACCAGCCCAUACAUUUAUAAAAAGCUAUACAUAUUUGAAGACAUAUAUCUUAACAUAUAAACACACAUAACCUCCCAUUUCUCUCCA